rnacentral:lncRNA from 1 species
UAGAGUUGUCAACUGGGCUGGGCCAGCCCGGCCCGGCCCAGGCCCGGUUGAGCCCGUAAGGAGUUAGGCCCAGCCCAGCCCAAGCCCACAUUUGAAAUGGGCCGGUCCUGGGCCGGGCUUUUUAUAAAAUAUCGAACCCAGCCCGAUUCAGGACCACAUGUCUAGUGGGCUUGGGCCUCAAAUGGGCCGGGCCUCACAUGGGCUUAUGCUGGGUCGAGUAUGAUGGGCUUAUACUGGG